rnacentral:rRNA from 1 species
AUUGAACGCUGGCGGCAGGCUUAACACAUGCAAGUCGAGCGGGGGAAGGUAGCUUGCUACCGGACCUAGCGGCGGACGGGUGAGUAAUGCUUAGGAAUCUGCCUAUUAGUGGGGGACAACAUCUCGAAAGGGAUGCUAAUACCGCAUACGUCCUACGGGAGAAAGCAGGGGAUCUUCGGACCUUGCGCUAAUAGAUGAGCCGAAGUCGGAUAAGAUAGUUGGUGGGGUAAAGGCCGACCAAGGCGACGAUCUGUAGCGGGUCUGAGAGGAUGAUCCGCCACACUGGGACUGAGACACGGCCCAGACUACUACGGGAGGCAGCAGUGGGGAAUAUUGGACAAUGGGGGGAACCCUGAUCCAGCCAUGCCGCGUGUGUGAAGAAGGCCUUAUGGUUGUAAAGCACUUUAAGCGAGGAGGAGGCUACUUUAGUUAAUACCUAGAGAUAGUGGACGUUACUCGCAGAGUAAGCACCGGCUAACUCUGUGCCAGCCGCCGCCGUAA